CCUACGGGAGGCAGCAGUGAGGAAUAUUGGUCAAUGGACGAGAGUCUGAACCAGCCAAGUAGCGUGAAGGAUGACUGCCCUAUGGGUUGUAAACUUCUUUUAUAAAGGAAUAAAACGAGGCACGUGUGCCCUUUUGCAUGUACUUUAUGAAUAAGGAUCGGCUAACUCCGUGCCAGCAGCCGCGGUAAUACGGAGGAUCCGAGCGUUAGCCGGAUUUAUUGGGUUUAAAGGGAGCGUAGAUGGGGUGUUAAGUCAGUUGUGAAAGUUUGCGGCUCAACCGUAAAAUUGCAAUUGAUACUGGCAGUCUUGAGUACAGGUGAGGAAAGCGGAAUUCGUGGUGUAGCGGUGAAAUGCUUAGAUAUCACGAAGAACCCCGAUUGCGAAGGCAGCUUACUAAACUGUGACUGACAUUGAUGCUCGAAAGUGUGGGUAUCAAACAGGAUUAGAUACCCUAGUAGUC
rnacentral:rRNA from 1 species